rnacentral:rRNA from 1 species
GGGUUGUGAGGUUAAGCGACUAAGCGUACACGGUGGAUGCCCUGGCAGUCAGAGGCGAUGAAGGGCGUGCUAAUCUGCGAUAAGCGCCGGUAAGGUGAUAUGAACCGUUAUAACCGGCGAUACCCGAAUGGGGAAACCCAGUGUGAUUCGUCACACUAUCAUUAACUGAAUCCAUAGGUUAAUGAGGCGAACCGGGGGAACUGAAACAUCUAAGUACCCCGAGGAAAAGAAAUCAACCGAGAUUCCCCCAGUAGCGGCGAGCGAACGGGGAGGAGCCCAGAGCCUGAAUCAGCAUGUGUGUUAGUGGAAGCGUCUGGAAAGGCGCGCGAUACAGGGUGACAGCCCCGUACACAAAAGCGCAUGUGCUGUGAGCUCGAUGAGUAGGGCGGGACACGUGGUAUCCUGUCUGAAUAUGGGGGGACCAUCCUCCAAGGCUAAAUACUCCUGACUGACCGAUAGUGAACCAGUACCGUGAGGGAAAGGCGAAAAGAACCCCGGCGAGGGGAGUGAAAAAGAACCUGAAACCGUGUACGUACAAGCAGUGGGAGCACCCUUCGGGGUGUGACUGCGUACCUUUUGUAUAAUGGGUCAGCGACUUAUAUUCUGUAGCAAG